UACGAGGGGAGCAAGCGUUGUUCGGAUUUACUGGGCGUAAAGGGCGCGUAGGCGGUCGUGACAAGUCACUUGUGAAAUCUCCGGGCUUAACUCGGAACGGUCAAGUGAUACUGUCGGACUAGAGUACAGAAGGGGCAACUGGAAUUCUUGGUGUAGCAGUGAAAUGCGUAGAUAUCAAGAGGAACACCAGUGGCGAAGGCGAGUCCCUGGACAACACCAUGA
rnacentral:rRNA from 1 species